rnacentral:rRNA from 1 species
GUGCCAGCAGCCAGACGGUAAUACGGAGGGUGCAAGCGUUAUCCGGAUUCACUGGGUUUAAAGGGUGCGUAGGCGGGCGUAUAAGUCAGUGGUGAAAUCCUGGAGCUUAACUCCAGAACUGCCAUUGAUACUAUAUGUCUUGAAUAUGGUGGAGGUAAGCGGAAUAUGUCAUGUAGCGGUGAAAUGCAUAGAUAUGACAUAGAACACCUAUUGCGAAGGCAGCUUACUACGCCUAUAUUGACGCUGAGGCACGAAAGCGUGGGGAUCAAACAGGAUUAGGUACCCUGGUAGUCCACGCCCUAAACGAUGAUUACUCGACGUGUGCGAUAAACGGUACGCGUCUGAGCGAAAGCAUUAAGUAAUCCACCUGGGAAGUACGACCGCAAGGUUGAAACUCAAAGGAAUUGGCGGGGGUCCGCACAAGCGGUGGAGCAUGUGGUUUAAUUCGAUGAUACGCGAGGAACCUUACCUGGGCUAGAAUGCAGUCUGACCGUGGGUGAAAGCUCAUUUUGUAGCAAUACACAGAUUGUAAGGUGCUGCAUGGCUGUCGUCACCUCGUGCCGUGAGGUGUUGCGUUAAGUCCCGCAACGAGCGCAACCCCUAUCCUUGGGUGCCCACAGGUAAAGCUGGCAAAUCUGUAGAAACUGGCAUCUCUAGUACAACAGCAGUCGUGGAAUGAUGUCAAGUCAUCAUAGGCCUUUUAAGCCCAGCGUUACCCAUAUGCUAAAAUGUAGAGGAACAAAGACCAUCGACACGACAAAGUGAAUGCGAAUCCCGAAAAUCCAGAUUCUCAUCUCCAAAAUAACAGCUUUAUCAGCUCGAAAUCCGGAGA